rnacentral:lncRNA from 1 species
GAACUGUUUGCUAUCAAAUACAAUGAAUGAGGGAAACAGCCUGAUAUCUGGGAUGAACAUGAGGAUGGAAUAUGGAAACCACCAAAGAUACCAUAUCCGGCAUACAAAGGUGGCUGCUUUUAGGGGUGAGCAAACGGGGCGAAUCCGCUAGAACUGGAUCAAACUAACCCGGAACUGAGAACCGAAUGCGGUGUAUUUCAAGAACCGGAACCGAACCUUAUAAUACAUACACGGUUGUAAUAGGACGAUUUGUUGCUGCUGCUACUACAGCUGUUUCGGUCAAAGGAGUCUUGCCAGCUAUCUUAUUUUGGGUGUGAUCAUUCUGGAAACUCAUCAAGCAUAUGGAUUGCUGGUGCAUUUGCUCUCCAAGCUGCAGGUUUUCACCUUUUUAAAUCUUUUAUCAUCUGACCAAGUUAACCGGUGCAUCAGGAUUUAACUACUGAAACUAUUUUUGAAAGCUCUUAAUUUCUUAAAAGCAUACGUGCUUCAAGACCAAGAGGCACAUGCAACACAGAUGGAGUCAUAUUUUCAUGGAUAUCAAGCCAGAUGGUGUGCGAAGAGGUUGUGCCAGAAGGCCAUGUUUUGGUUCAAGGUGACAUUUGUGAUGAAUUUCUCUCCACAUAUUUGUCUCCAUCAAUGGGAUGGUAAGCAUGACGUGUAAUAAAUUAGUUAUAGGAGAUAAUUUAUGGAUGUACCUCUGUUGUUUGAAGUUGUAGUAAUGAUUACUUAACUCUUAAACUGUAAUUAGAAGUAGAUAUGUUUAGUCCAAAUAUAUUUUUAGAAUACAUUUUUCACCUUCAGUUAAGUUGAAUAAGCUACAUGAAUACCUUGGUGUGAGAUUAGCUAUGAACAAUGCAU